rnacentral:rRNA from 1 species
CCUACGGGCGGCAGCAGUGGUGAAUAUUGCACAAUGGGGGAAACCCUGAUGCAGCGACGCCGCGUGCGUGAAGAAGUAAUUCGUUAUGUAAAGCUCUAUCAGCAGGGAAGAAAAUGACGGUACCUGAGUAAGAAGCCCCGGCUAACUACGUGCCAGCAGCCGCGGUAAUACGUAGGGGGCCAGCGUUAUCCGGAUUUACUGGGUGUAAAGGGGGCGUAGACGGAAGUGCAAGUCUGGAGUGAAAGGCGGGGGCUCAACCCCCGGACUGCUCUGGAAACUGUACGGCUGGAGUGCAGGAGAGGUAAGUGGAAUGCCUGGUGUAGCGGUGAAAUGCGUAGAGAUUAGGAAGAACACCAGUGGCGAAGGCAGCUUACUGGACUGUAACUGACGUUGAGGCUCGAAAGCGUGGGGAGCAAACAGGAUUAGAUACCCUUGUAGUC